GGGUAUAGCUCCAUGGUAGAGUGCUUGCCUACCAAGCACAAGGCCCUGGGUUUGAUCCCAGCACUCCA
rnacentral:tRNA from 1 species